rnacentral:rRNA from 1 species
AUUGAACGCUGGCGGUAUGCUUAACACAUGCAAGUCGAACGGUAGCAGGCCUUCGGGCGCUGACGAGUGGCGGACGGGUGAGUAACGCGUAGGAAUCUGCCUCAUAGUGGGGGACAACGUGGGGAAACUCACGCUAAUACCGCAUACGCCCUACGGGGGAAAGCGGGGGCUCUUCGGACCUCGCGCUAUGAGAUGAGCCUGCGUUAGAUUAGCUAGUUGGUAGGGUAAAAGCCUACCAAGGCGACGAGCUAUAGCUGGUCUGAGAGGACGAUCAGCCACACUGGGACUAAGACACGGCCCAGACUCCUACGGGAGGCAGCAGUGGGGAAUAUUGGACAAUGGGCGCAAGCCUGAUCCAGCAAUACCGCGUGUGUGAAGAAGGCCCUAGGGUUGUAAAGCACUUUCAAUUGGGAGGAAAACCUGUCGGUCAAUACCCGGCAGCUUGACAUUACCUUUAGAAGAAGCACCGGCUAACUCCGUGCCAGCCGCCGCUGUAAUAC